CAAGCCUUUAGGUGAAGGCCUAGUUGCACUUAUGCAGAAAGAAGGUUUUAUGCUUUCCUUUCUGCCAAGUACUACUAAAUACUUCUUCAAAGUAAUUAUGGUCUUGGUUAUCUAGAACAGAAAUUAGUAAUAAACGUGCCGUGAGCACAUGGAGGAAUUUUCUAUGAACAAAGGUUCAGUAAAAUGGUUUAACGCAGAAAAAGGUUUUGGAUUUAUCGAAGUUGAAGGUGGAGACGACGUAUUCGUACACUUCUCAGCAAUCCAAGGCGACGGUUUCAAAACUUUAGAAGAAGGUCAAGAAGUUUCUUUCGAUAUCGAAGAAGGUAACCGUGGACCACAAGCAGCUAACGUUACAAAACUAUAAGUUGCAUUCACAUAAAAAGCUCUUCUCAUUAUUGAGAAGGGCUUUUU
rnacentral:other from 1 species